GAUGAACGCUGGCGGCGUGCCUAAUACAUGCAAGUAGAACGCUGAAGGAGGAGCUUGCUCUUCUGGAUGAGUUGCGAACGGGUGAGUAACGCGUAGGUAACCUGCCUGGUAGCGGGGGAUAACUAUUGGAAACGAUAGCUAAUACCGCAUGACAACAGUUAUUGCAUGAUAACUGUUUAAAAGGGCAACUGCUCCACUACCAGAUGGACCUGCGUUGUAUUAGCUAGUUGGUGAGGUAACGGCUCACCAAGGCGACGAUACAUAGCCGACCUGAGAGGGUGAUCGGCCACACUGGGACUGAGACACGGCCCAGACUCCUACGGGAGGCAGCAGUAGGGAAUCUUCGGCAAUGGACGGAAGUCUGACCGAGCAACGCCGCGUGAGUGAAGAAGGUUUUCGGAUCGUAAAGCUCUGUUGUAAGAGAAGAACGAGUGUGAGAGUGGAAAGUUCACACUGUGACGGUAUCUUACCAGAAAGAGACGGCUAACUACGUG
rnacentral:rRNA from 1 species